rnacentral:rRNA from 1 species
AUUGAACGCUGGCGGCAGGCUUAACACAUGCAAGUCGAACGAGUGGCGGACGGGUGAGUAAUGUCUGGGAAACUGCCCGAUGGAGGGGGAUAACUACUGGAAACGGUAGCUAAUACCGCAUACUAUCGGAUGUGCCCACAUGGGCUUAGCUUGUAGGUGGGGUAACGGCUAACCUAGGCCACGAUCCCUAGCUGGUCUGAGAGGAUGACCAGCCACGCUGGAAAGGAGACACGGCCCAGACUACAACGGGAGGCAGAAGUGGGGAAUUUUGCACAAUGGGAGAAAACCUGAUGCAGCCAGGCCGCGUGUAUGACGAAGGCCUUCGGGUUGUAAAGUACUUUUAGCGGAGAGGCGUUACUCGCAGAAGAAGCACCGGCUAACUCCGUGCCAGCAGCCGCGGUAAUUC